UAUAUGCAUUCACUGUAAGUCGCUCUGGAUAAGAGCGUCUGCUAAAUGACUCAAA
rfam:Salmo salar isolate Sally breed double haploid chromosome ssa11, whole genome shotgun sequence.